GACCAACCAACUCUAUAAUAAUUACAUUCCUUUGUUGCACAAGUUGUUGAAAUAAAACCAAUGACAUAAUAUACCUAAUCGUUAGCAAAUACAGUAAUAACUGAAUGUACAGUUAAAACAAUGGCAAUUUACUAAUGUGUACAGCCAGCGCCGCACGAUACCGCAGAAGUGCACUCUUGACUAGGUUGAUCACAACGCGCGACAGGCAAGAACCAGCUAGCUUGUCAGUGCAAGGCCUGGAAAAUGGCUGCAGGAUCUGGCUCGUCAAGCGGUCACGGUCCGCCUGCGGCCCUUGAGUCAACUUUGGACCGACGGUUUCAAGGAGUGUCGAACACAAUGGAAUCAAUUCAAGGACUAUCAAAUUGGUGUAUCGAGAACAAGAAAUACCACAGUCUUAUCGUGCGUUACUGGAUGAAAUGGUUGAGGAAAUCUGAGGCUUCUCACCGUCUCAAUUUGUUCUACCUCGCCAACGAUGUCAUUCAGAACUGUAAGAGGAAAAAUGCCAUUGUCUACCGUACUGCCUUCGCCGACGUGCUCCCUGAGGCCUUCCAGCUGGUCAAUAAUGUGGGAGACUCUAAGGUGAUGAAGUCAGUGGACAGGAUAUUAUCCAUCUGGGAGGAGAGGAGUGUGUACAAAGAGGAGCUCAUAGCUGAGCUGAGGGCCAGUCUGGUCAAAGAGGAGUCACCUGCUGCUUUAGAAACACCUAAAACUCCAGUCAACCCUAAAGCUGCUCUUCAAUCUAAGAUUGUAGCUGAAUUUGUUCCCCAGGCAUUCAUCGAUCAUCUCUCUAAGUACCACAGCUCUGUGGAGGAAGUGGCGCUAAAGGAGAAACAGCUGGCAGCCAUGAGGGUGGACGUCUGCAGCACCAAGGACCUCAAGAGACUGAAAGAUAAGGCAGGGGGAAAGAGGCACUCCAAAGAUUUUGAGGAUGGCAGUGCGAAGCUAAAGGAGUUUGUGGCCUUCCUUGACCGGCAGAUCAAAGGAGGGUCCCCUCUGUUGAAUGCUCUUGGCAACGCAGACAUUUUCUACGAGAUGCAGUAUAAGGAGGUCAAGAUAGUCGCCAAUGCCUACAAGACGUUUGCCAACCGGGUGUCCCACCUCAAGCGUAAGCUGGACAGCCUCAAGGCCACCUUACCAGACCUGGAUGAGUCGCCCCUCCCCUCGCCCUCGAUGGACGCCCCGUCUCCCAAUGGCUCAGAGUCCCCCUUCCGUGGCCUGGCCGACCCAGAAUCUGACUUGGAUGGCCUGGCCAUGGAUGAUGAGGUGGAAAUCACUCUGGGGGAAGCACCCAGCCCCCUGUCCUCCCCCGGUGGCUCCCCAAAGCAGGGCUUCACUGUCGGGGAGUCAGACAACCGCGAUGUGGAGGACAUGGAGCUCUCGGAUGAGGAGGAGGCAGAGAGCGUCGGUAUCAUAGUUGAGGAGCGAGUUGAAAGUCCCGUCCCAUCUCCAGACCCCAUUCCUGUGCCUGUUGUCACACCGCUGGCCACAGAGGCAAAGCCUGUCCCACAGGCCACACCUUUCCCAGCUCUCAUGAUCCCAGUGACCCCUAUAACCAACCUAUCAGGCAACCUCGCCAAUGUAGACCUGGGUAAAAUUAGCUCUAUCCUCAGCAGCAUCACCUCUGUCAUGAAGAAACCAGGAGUGAGUCCAGGUGCUUCUUUGGUCUGCCCCUCCUCUCCAGCCAAGACCACCCCUCCUGCCCCAGUAGCCCCCCAGGUAGCCAGCCCUCUGGCCAGCGUCCUAUCCAAAGUGGACAUGACUCCCGAGGCGCUCCUCAGUGCACUGUCCAAAACCCAGGAGCAGGCCAGCGGGCGACAUGGCUUCUCCACUCUUCUGAACAGCCCAAUGGGAAACCUCUCCUCAUACUCCCCCAGUACAGGCAAGCUCCCUCCCUCCGCCUCCACCCCUACAGUACCCUCUCGAGGCCUUCCUCUCACCUCCUCUACGCUCGAACCAACCCCAUCAGCCCCUACAGUGGGGAAUACCACCACCGUCCUUCAGGCAGCAUCCCUUACCCAGCCCACACAGCCUCUAGACAUCGGCCCUCACAGAGGGCUGGUCCUUGAGCAAGAGAAGGAAGAAAAGCCCUCUUCUUCCAGCCUGGAGUCCAAGAUCCACAGCUUCCUGCAGGGUAACCCUGGCUUUAAUGCCUUUAACCUGGGCUUGACUAGCGAGACCAUGCAAGCGGGAGGCAGCGACAUCAGCCCCUUAGUGGGUACAGAGACCCAAGAGGGCACCCCGGUGCGAGACGAGGCCGGAGGAGGCACCCCCACCCUGGAUGAGUUCUUGGACACACCAGGAGGAGCAGAGCCCUUCCUGGCCAAGCAAGGUCAGGUCUCUUCUGGGGGAGUUCCUAAACAACCAGAUGGCAGCCUGUCUCAGUCUCCAACUGCCUACCACAACCAAACCUGGCAGGAUCCCAACAACCCUCAUGUCCACUUAGGACCACAACCAGGUGCUCCGAAUGGACAGGGGUACCACCAGUUGCCUUAUGGAGGGAAUGAAGAGAUGCAUGGAAUAGGUCCUUCCCUCAGAGAGUCUGGGUUGGCCCAUUACCAGCCCAUCACGACACAGGUGUCAGCCCCAACCCUCGGGGAGGGGUUACCCAGUAACACACCAGGAGGGCCUCCGGCAGGGCCAAACCCCAGUGUGAGUGAAGGAGGAUGGUAUGGUAAUCCCUACCCAGAGGGACGGGCCCUGCAUCCUAACAACCACAACAUGGCUGCAUCAGGGGCAGGAGAUGGCAAAACCCCCAUGUCAGGACGGUAUGCAUACCAGGGGCAGACGCAGACGCAGCCCUACCAAACAAAGGAUCCUCAAACUCUGCUUUCCCAACAGGGGGCCAACCCCUCAAGCUUCCUCACCAGCCCUCUGCCCCCCAUUCCCCAGCUGCCUCCACCGCCCUUCCCUGGAAUACCAGCCCCACCACAGGACUACCAGAGCUCGCCCGCGUCUGUCAUUGUGCGAGGGGUGAUGGUGCCUGUGGAGCAACCCUCACCAAACCCUGAGAUGGAGGAUGACAGGGCGGGCAUCAGUGUAUUGGGCGAUCCAGUGAUUAUCAGUGAUCACCAGCACAAAUCUGCUUUCCACCCUGAGGGCCAACCCUAUCACCCAGAUGACCUUCAUCGCCAUGCCGAUGACCCCUGUCAUCACCCUGACAAUUUCCCUUGUCACACUGACGACCUCCGCCGCCACCCCAACGAUCUACGCCGCCAGCCUGACGACCUGCAUCACCUUGACAACUUCCGUCAGCACCCCCACAACCUCCAUCGUCACCCAGACAAUCACUAUUAUCACCCAGACGAUUUCCACCAUCUACCUGUAGACGAUCCUCAUUAUCCUUAUAAAGUCAGAGAGCGCCUCACUCCCCCCCUCUCUCCCUCAGAAGACCCUUACUACUAUAACUACCCUCCACGCAGCCCUUCUCCUCCAUAUGGUCACAGACCCCCCCUUCACCCUCACAUGGACCUGCACCACCCUGACCACAUGCCCCUGCCUCCCCAUCCUCCACACCGUCCUCUCCACCCAGUUCACCAGCCACACCUGAGAGGCCUCCCGUGGGGUCCCCCACGCCCAACCCUCUGUGGGCCCAUGCUCAGGGGGAAACGGCCAGGGCCUCCUUUCGGGGGACACCCCAGAGGGGGACCAGGUGGUCCAUUCUUUCCUCCCAAAAGACCACACCUACCUCCGCGCUUCUGACUUGUCAACUGACUGGGGUGACAUCAAAUUACAGUGCUUAGGCUACCGGAAUGUCAUUGUGGCAGGGGGCGCGACACAUCGAGGGUAGAAGAGGAGGAGAGAUGAGUUGGGAAGAAGCAGAAGAAUUGAGGUGUACUUUUCUCUGCUCCCCUUCUUGGUUUAAGAGGCCUGAGAGGAAGAGGGGAAUAGAUGAGUACAAUUGGAGGAGGAGUAAAUUGGGAGGAUCUAAAGGAAUCGAGGAGAGGAUGAGUGAAGACGUGGAUCUGGAGAAAGAGGGAAUGGAGAGGUCGGCCUGAACAACGGAGACACAGCGGAAUAGAAGAAAAUAAGAGUAAGCUGGAUGACUCUGUGAUAUGGUGACCUGUGCGAGGAGUGGGAAACCGCUGGCGAGAGUGACAUACAAUACAACAAGGACUGGUGUCAUCUCAAUGUCCACUAAACCACAGUAAUAACACAUUUAACACCGCCAAAGAAGUACUAAAUACAGGGCAGUUUCUCUGACACAGUUGUAGCCCUGUGAUGGUAUAAAAUUCAAGAUCGAGCAAGAAUUUCUAUUGAAAAUGCUUUUGAGUCCAGGACUAGGCAUAAUCCGUGUCUGGGACAACUCCCCUACAUGACAGGCCUUGUGUUGGCCAUAAUUUAGUUCAGCAAAAUAAUUAUAUUGAUCAAUUCCACAGGUUUGUGAUACAAUUUUAGUCAAGGUACAUUGUUACUCAAGCACCCUCUAGUGGUGCAAUGUGACUUAUUCGAGAAGGGCCACAGUGUUAUUAUCAGGGUGAUGGUAUGAUUCACUAAGGUUGCGUCGCAAAUGGCUCUCUGGUCAAAGUAGUGCACUAUAUAAAUAAUCUCGUUCCCUGACACUUCCGGCAAAAUAAGAAAGCCAAUAAGAUUGACGUGAAAUUUACAGCGUGAUAGGCAUUGGCUUAAUCGGCUUAAUCUACCAACCAAUCAUCUCUUGCUACACCUUCCCCCACUUUUCUUGAGAACCUCUGUCAUAUCAGAGAGGAAGAGGUGAAGCAAGAGGUUUUACUUUGCCCAAAAUCUGUCCUUGAAAAAUAAGCCCACAAUUGAGUAAUUUUUUUGUCAAAUUUGCUACUUGAGGCUUAUUUGAUCUAAUCUAACUUUGGGGAUGCUUAGGUUGUUACGAAUGCACUGAUAUAAGUGGACACACGUGGUACUUCGUCAACUUUGGAAAAAAAUCAAUUUUACAUCAGAGUAUUGUGCCGGAGGGGAUGGCAGCCAUUUUACGGGCUCCUGACCAAUUGUGCUAUUUUGUGUUUUCUUGCUCUGUUUGUUACUUUUUUUUGUACAUAAUGUUUCCGCCAUCGUUUCUUAUGACAGAAAAGAGCUUCUGGACAUCAGAACAGAGAUUAUUCACCUCGAACUCGACGAGGAUUUAUUCUUUAUGAGUCUGACACAAAGGAUAUACUGCUCCUCCCGGACCAGGCCCAAAUCCCCGUCAUUUUGUGUGAAGAGGAGACGGCAUUACAGAGGUCAAAGAGCCGGAUGCAUCGCGAGUCCGUGUUGAUGAGUGGAUAAUCUGCCUUUAACCUUCUUUCUACUGGCGAUCUGGAGAAUAAACUGGAUGAGUUCCAUUUGAGACUAUCCUAUCAACAGGACAUAAAAAAACGUAAUAUCCUGUGUUUCACCGAGUCAAGGACAUGUAUAAUAUACAGUUGCUGGGUUUUCCAUGCAUCGGCAAGACAGAACAGCAGCCUCCGGGGGAGGGGGGGG